rnacentral:lncRNA from 1 species
ACCAGCUUGUCGGCGCCAUUUUGUCUCGGCAGCGGUGGCCGUAGCUCCAUCGCAUUUUAUGUUUCUGGCGAGAAGGGAACGGAGUUUUCAUCAGGUAGAUUGGUUUUUGUGCGGCCGUCCUCCACCGUUUCCUCCAGGACAGCACCUAGUCGUGGCCGGAGGAGUCUCAGAGCUGUCAGAAAGAAUAAGACUGAUUUUAUGGGAAAAUUAAGCAGAUGCUCCAGUUUGAGAAACCUGGAUCUGCGAUCUGUUUGUGGUCUCUAUGAAUAAAGAAAAGCAAAUAGAAUCUUAUCAGAUAAGUGCUUUUAUAAGUCUAAAUAUAUUCUUUGGAAUCUCUAAAGCAAAACUUUUAAACUUUUUUUUUUUUUUUUUUUUUUUUAGGUACCAGCAUCAAGAUGAUUUAUGGUAAUAAGAUAUAAAACCAAGGAAAAUAACCUAAAGUCUGAAAAAGACCAGAAUCGAAGUUUCCUGAUUCAUAUUUUAAUGUUUUGAAAUUUAUACUCCAGGCUGGGUGCAGUGGCUUGUGCCUGUAAUCCCAGCACUUUGGGAGGCCGAGGCGGCCGGAUUGCCUGAAGUCAGAAGUUCGAGACCAGCCUGACCAACAUGGUGAAACCCUGUCUCUACUUAAAAAUACAAAAGAGCUGGGCAUGGAGGUGGUGCGCGCCUGUAACCCUAGCUACUCGGGAGGCUGAGGCCUAAGAAUCUCUUGAACCCAGGAGGCAGAGGUUGUAGUGAGCCGGGAUCACGCCACUGCACUCUAGCCUGGGCGACAGAGAGAGAGACUGUCUAAAAAAGGAAAAGAAAAAAAUUUAUACGCCAAAAAAGAUAUUCUGAGAUAACCUGUAGUUACCACUAACUUUGUGACAAAAUUAUAAAAAUCCACAGCCAUCUAUGAAUCUGUAGGCAGACCUGAAGUUUGAACGACUGGUGAAGACAUCUGAUUUUCUUUAUAGCCAAGUUAGGAUAACAAAAUGCAAACAAGUCAUUAAUAUUUACUAUAUGCAAGAUACAGAAAGAUGAAGGAAGGAGUAAGAAGUUAUCCUUCGUGGAACUAUUCAAAGCAAAAAUGCAAAAUACCAGGGAAAGCUUUGAAGAACCAAGAUUUGAGCAGGUUCUUAGAAUAUAGAUUGGAUUGGAUUUGAUUUCAAGAAAGAUGAACGUGUAAAGCAGAAGUGGGAAGCCAAAAACUUUUUUCCAAAUUAGAAUUAAGCAUUCUUUCAAUGAACAUUUGGAAAUCAAGGUAGAAAAAUAUCCCUAGGGCCUAGCUGAGGAGUCUGUAUGUUGUUGGGUUUUGAUAGUAACCAGUCCAAGAUUUUGUUAUUAGACGUGGGUUUCUGAAUAGACAGGCAUUUCUGAACAGACAUGACAGGAUCAAAACAAUGUUUGAGCAAACUGCCCUUCAUCUACUGUGGAUAUGUUGGGGGAUGAUGGAAUAUAGUGAAAGAUAAUGGGUGCUCAUACAGCAGUCUAGACUUAAGGUGAUUCAACUACUAUAUAUUAAACUAGAUUAUCUUUUAUUUUUUAAUUUUGAAAUCUGGAUGCUCAAGCUCUGCCUGCACAACCACAUGAGGAAGAAGGAACAAUGACAACAAAAAUAACACUAAAUUUAAAUUUAAGAGUACUACUUUUAGGAAAUAGACAAACCAUUAUUUGGGUACAACUAAAGGCAACUGGCAUGGACUCAAAUAUUUUGGGGAAGAAAAAGACUAAAAGUUCUAAGGAAGAAAAUGCGAACCUUGAUAGUUUGAAAUAGUUAAAAAGACAGUGUAGAAACUGCUUAGGCAGUUUGAUUAUGGACUAUUAGAUGAUACUUGGGUCUGAUAAUGGUAUAAGGAGAAUAAAGUAUUUAGGGAUCCAAUAUUACGCCUGCAGCUUUUUCCAAAUAGUUCAUGGGGGAGGGGGAUGUGUAAGUGGUUAACUGAAGUCUAACUAGAUAGGUUUGUUGUAAGCUUAGGAUGUUUACAGUUCUUCAUGUUAAGUUGAGCGUGAUGGGAAGGGAAAGAAUGCUGAUCUUUAAAUUUUUGUCCUUAGUUAAGUUCUGUAUUUAGUGAAUUAAUUGCAUCCUAAAAAGUCAAACUUGAAAAGCACAUUUUAAAUGGCAAAUCUAUUUUUUACAUGUUUGUGAAGUUUUUAUUUUUUAGUAAACAGACCAUCAGAAGAGAACAAUGGUACAGAGCAGGGGUCAGCAGAUGGAUUUUGUAAAGCAUCAACUUGUAAAUAUUUUCAAGUUUAUUAGCUGUAUGGCUCUGGUUUCUGUUCCCUGUUCCAAAUGUUAAAGUCUACUGUUGUAUUCUAAAAGCAGCCAUGGACUGAAUGUAGCUGUGUUCCAAUAAAACUUACACAAAAGCAGGCAGUGGGCCAUAAUUUGCAACACCUGAUUCACAGCAUAAUUUUGUCACAAACUGAAAGUGUUCCUCAAUUAAAGUGAUUUUUUUUUCUUGAAAAAAAAAAAAAAAA